AAGUAUUUUAUUUAUUUAUUUUUUCAAUGUAUCCUCACUUGAGCAUUUCACAAACAUUUACCAAAUAAUUCUUACUACUACCUAAAAAUAAAUCUCAAAAAACACUUAUUACUAUGAUAAAAUGCAAAUAUAGGGAAAUGCUUUCUGAAAAUGUUGACGAAAUUGAGUUAAAAGUUGCUACACUUAAGCUUCUAAAAUCCUAGGAAAAAUAUAUGAAGGGACCUUUUUUUAAUAUAUAUUAGGGGCAUUUUAUUAACAUUAUAUGUGUUUCUAUUAAAAAUGAUUGAAUUCUAUGAGUUGUGUUUUGGUGAUACAUUUAAGAAUCACGUGGUAAUUUUGGGUGGUAAAAUGUGCAAUCCCCAGACAUUCCUCAUGAAAUAGGGGGUAGAUGUCAUCAGGCUGCAAGGUCAUUGGCCCAGUUUUUAUUAGCCUUGAACUCACAAUAUUCAUGUGAGUUUUUUUAAUAAUCCAACAACUGCAUUUUUUAUUCUCUCGAUUAUUGCCAUGGAAGUUGAAGGAGAUGGUAUUGGCUCUUCCGACCGAAUCUGAUGAUAUUAUGGAAGCGAAUGUCAAUAAGGUGUGCUAAACUUCAUAAAUUUCUGUGUUUUCCCCAUGUUCUCACUUAUUCUUCUAUCGAACUUUCCGAUUAUGGUGCAAUCUGUUUAGACAAUGAUGGAGUCAGAUUGAUCAUGAGGAGUGGAAGGAAUUUGUAGCUAAGAAUCCACCCCUGAAAAAGAACAUGACUCUUCCAUUUUUAAAGUGCGCCCUUCCGUUCUGUUCAUAUCAUUGGGCAUAACCCUGGCAUUUCCCAGCUUUCUGAUUCACUUGGAAUUUGAAGAGGAGAAAUGGUUGCUGAAAUGAUGUCCGACAGUAUAUAAGUUGUUUCCUGUUAGACGCUCAAUGCAUCAAGGGACAUGUUCUUUGGAGAACUUGGAGCAAUCGUGGUUGCAGCUGAAGUGGCAACAUAAUAUAUGUUGCAUAGGCUGGAGGUUGCAAGAUUUCAAGAUGAUAGCUUGCUGUUCUGUCAGGCUUUAAUCUUUGGAAUGGAGUAGGUUGCUCAAAUUAUUGGAACUCUAUGAACAAGCUUCGGGACAGAGGUUGAACAAAGACAAUACGUCCAUAUUUUUCAGCAACAAUACAAGGACAGCAACCAAAGACCUUAUCGCAAGCAUUGCAGGAAUUAGAUCCAUAGGUUCGUAUGAGAAAUAUCUAGGAUUACCAGCUUUGGUAGGAAGAUCCAGAGACAAGGUUUUUAAAGGUAUCCUGGAUAAGAGUGAGGAGUAAACUAACUAACUGGAAAAUGAAGUUUCUCUCACAAGCAAGGAAAGAAAUCCUCAUCAAAUCAGUAAUUUGGGCCAUCCCCACAUAUAGCAUGGGAGUAUUUAAACUCCCUAAAGGCCUGCGGCAGGAAAUCAAUAAACUGAUGAGAGGGUACUGGUGGGGACAAAUAGGCCAGUAAAGAAGAAUGCAUUGGAUUAAAUGGGACCAAAUGGGGAAAGUAAAAGCUAUAGGUGGACUGGGAUUCAGAGAUUUUGAGAACUUCAACUUAGCAAGGCUGGAGCAUAUUACAGUUCCCAGAUUCACUUGCUGCCAAAAUCUUAAAUUAAAUUACUUUCCUAAAACUGAGUUUUUUCAAGCAAAGUUGGGCAGCAACCCCUCCUUUGUAUGGAGGAGUAUUUUAUCAGCUCGACCUUUGCUUGAGGAAGGUUUACUAUGGAGGAUUGGCAAUGGCAAAUCAGUGACAAUCUGGUUAGACAAAUGGUUGCCCCAACCAACCACA